GUCGUCGUAGUCCAGUGGUAGUACGUCGCUUUCUUAUCAUUGUAUCAUGUCAUUGGUAGGUGAAGGUUGCGAGUUCGAUCUUCGUCGGUACU